GCUCGGGAAUUGCAUCUGAAACUGCUCUGCUUGAGUCCUGGAGGGGGUAGUGGAAUUCCCAGUGUAGCGGUGAAAUGCGUAGAUAUUGGGAGGAACACCGGCGGCGAAGGCGGCUACCUGGACAGUGACUGACGCUGAUGCGCGAAAGCUAGGGGAGCGAACGGGAUUAGAUACCCCGGUAGUCCUAGCCGUAAACGAUGGGCACUUGGUGUUGGGGGUAUUGAGUCCCCCGGUGCCGGAGUUAACACGUUAAGUGCCCCGCCUGGGGAGUACGGUCGCAAGACUGAAACUCAAAGGAAUUGACGGGGGCCCGCACAAGCGGUGGAGCAUGUGGUUCAAUUCGACGCAACGCGAAGAACCUUACCGAGGCUCGAACGGUAACUGCAAUCCUUGGAAACAGGGAGUUCUCUU
rnacentral:rRNA from 1 species